rnacentral:rRNA from 1 species
GUCAAAACGACUCUCGGCAACGGAUAUCUCGGUCUCGCAUCGAUGAAGAACGUAGCGAAAUGCGAUACUUGGUGUGAAUUGCAGAAUCCCGUGAACCAAUCGAGUCUUUGAACGCAAGUUGCGCCCGAAGCCAUUAGGCCGAGGGCACGUCUGCCUGGGCGU